UGCUUGGUAGGAGGAGGUGUGUCACUGGGGAUGGGCCUUGAUGUUUACUAGCCCCUAGCUUGCCAGCGUUACUUCAUUCUAUCUCCUGCUGCUGCU
rnacentral:miRNA from 1 species